CGGGACGUGGCGCAGCUCGGUAGCGCACCUGAAUGGGGUUCAGGGGGUCGCCGGUUCAAAUCCGGCCGUCCCGA
rnacentral:tRNA from 3 species